CCAAAUUCAUUAAAAGAAAACUAAAUAGAUAGAGUCCACAAUCCAUUUAUCAAUACAAAUGUAUAAUACUACUACAGGUCACUCUCACACACACCAUUUCAAAAGAAGAGGCCUUAAUUAACAUCUAUAGUUCAAAGUCUAUUCACAGGAUAUAGAAUAGUAAAAAAAAACAGGGGGAAUCAGCUUCGAAUGUAUUCUUCAUUUAACAGAACUUCACUCAUGUUACAUGUUCAACAAUCGUUCCUCAAUUGUAAGCUAAGAAGGUACCUGGAAAUUGGAAAGAAAACAGAGGUGAACAACCAACAAAUAAGCAGCAAGGAUCAGUGGCAAAACAGUCAGCAAAUCAACUCCAAUCUCAGAAAUGAUGUAAAGCAGCUCCAAAUAACAAAUUUCGACCAAUCAACAGCCCAGCACUACUUUAAACCAGAUUUCUGACGACCAAGCUUAAUCCAUUUCUCAUUCAGGUCAGUAAAAAUGGUUUUAGAAGUUCAAAAGAAAUCAAAAAUCACUGAAGAAAUAUCAAUAAAACAGUAGAAGUCCAGCCGUUUAUAUUUUUCUGACUUUUAUCCCUUGAAAUCUCUCAAAAUCAAGUCAUUUCAGCCCUCAGAUAAGUCAGAAUUCGAUUUAGGAGUGGGAAAUCUAAGAAAUCACCAAGGAAACUCAAUGAAACAGUAAUUUUGCAAUUGUUUUUAUUUUUCAGAAUUUUUUUAUCUCUUAAGCCCCCUCCUUUCAAUGCAAGAAAGCAUGCCUUUAUAGGUCAGGAAGUAGGGCAACUUUCAAAUUUUAAUAUUCACCCCCUUAGUCCCUUUCCAAUUCUCAUCUUUGCUGCUUAAUCCCUAAACUUCUGACUUGCUGGCCAAGUAAGGCCUUUUUUCAGCUUCUAGGAAGCUUCCUAGACAGUUAUCAAAAGAUUCCCUACUCCCAAUUUUCCAAACUACCCCUUAAACAACUACCAUUUACCAUUUAAACCAACUGGGUCAAGUUGACCCAAAUUUACUUAGUGGGUCUCGGCUUGUAAUCUCUAGGCCAGACCUUUUCUUUUGAGCCCAGCUUGACUCGAGGUCUCACAGAGGAAUUCAAAGAAAAGAGGAAGAAGAAGAUGGAACAGAAACAACAGGUUUUCGACACAAAGCUUUAAAAGCCCAAAUAUCAAGGGCAAACCAAUUUAAACUAAAAUUCAGGCUCAGAAACACUAAUUAACUCAAAGUGGGAAAACAUGCAAAAAGUUCAAAGUAUCAGAAGAUCAGAGAAGGAAAGAAAAAAUCAAAAUUCACACACAAGAAACAGAAACAGACAAUAAAGGAGCUCAUAUAAAAAAAAAUCAAACUCAGAAAUUAAAGACAUCACACAUAAAAAUAGCCUAGACCGUAAGAAAUGCAGAAGAAUUUCGAAUCUUCAGAAUCUCGGCUCAAUCGGAGAUUAAUCAUGUAUUUUUUUUUAACAAAACGCACGAAUAAAGUCUGACCAAACCUGAACUCUUCACAAAGGUCUUGAGUGGGAGGAAUUAGAGUUUUAGGGUUACGCUUUGCUCUAAGAUUCGAGAAGCUCAAGGGACAUUCGAGGGAAAAUAUUUGUGGAUUCAUCCUGAGGGAGGCAUUGGGGUUUUGGGGUAUCAAUUUGGGAGUGAUUGGGGCCGGCGCCGUCACCUGAGAGGUUGAGGAGUUGAAGCGGCGGGCGUUAGGGUUCAUGGAGACGAGGGAGUUGAAGUGAAG
rnacentral:lncRNA from 1 species